UACGUAGGGUCCGAGCGUUGUCCGGAAUUAUUGGGCGUAAAGGGCUCGUAGGCGGUUCGUCACGUCGGGAGUGAAAACUCGGGGCUUAACCCCGAGCCUGCUUCCGAUACGGGCAGACUAGAGGUAGGCAAGGGAGAGCGGAACUCCUGGUGUAGCGGUGGAAUGCGCAGAUAUCAGGAAGAACACCGGUGGCGAAGGCGACUCUCUGGGCCUUACCUGACGCUGAGGAGCGAAAGCGUGGGGAGCAAACAGG
rnacentral:rRNA from 1 species